UCAGUGACUGUCUAGGGGGCUUCCGAGU
rnacentral:piRNA from 1 species